UGCUCCUAGUACGAGAGGACCGGAGUGGACGCAUCACUGGUGUUCGGGUUGUCAUGCCAAUGGCACUGCCCGGUAGCUAAAUGCGGAAGAGAUAAGUGCUGAAAGCAUCUAAGCACGAAACUUGCCCCGAGAUGAGUUCUCCCUGAGACUUAGAGUCUCCUGAAGGAACGUUGAAGACGACGACGUUGAUAGGCCGGGUGUGUAAGCGCAGCGAUGCGUUGAGCUAACCGGUACUAAUGAACCGUGAGGCUUAACCUU
rnacentral:rRNA from 1 species